rnacentral:rRNA from 1 species
UACGUAGGGUGCGAGCGUUGUCCGGAAUUAUUGGGCGUAAAGGGCUCGUAGGCGGUCUGUCGCGUCGAAAGUGAAAACUCAGGGCUUAACCCUGAGCCUGCUUCCGAUACGGGCAGACUAGAGGUAUGCAGGGGAGAACGGAAUUCCUGGUGUAGCGGUGAAAUGCGCAGAUAUCAGGAGGAACACCGGUGGCGAAGGCGGCUCUCUGGGCAUUACCUGACGCUGAGGAGCGAAAGUGUGGGGAGCGAACAGG